rnacentral:lncRNA from 1 species
GAGUGAAUAUUUGGUGUACCUCGCUUUAUACAAAUGUAUUCCUGAAAGGCCGCUUUUUAAUCAAAUCCACUGUUAUAAGAGAGCGCAGUGUUUAUGGAACCCUGUGGAGAAUCCCUUUACAAUGUGAAUAAUCAUCUCCUGUUUUCUUCUGUAUCCGUUUUUCUAUAACCUGGGUUUUUAAAAAAGCAUAAUUAUAGAUGUGAAAAUAAAGCAGAAGCAACCUUCUUCUCCCUUC